rnacentral:rRNA from 1 species
CGAAAGCCUGACGGAGCAAGACCGCGUGAGGGAGGAAGGCCUACUGGUUGUAAACCUCUUUUGAUAGGGAAGAACACAAUGACGGUACCUAUCGAAUCAGCCUCGGCUAACUCCGUGCCAGCAGCCGCGGUAAUACGGAGGAGGCAAGCGUUAUCCGGAAUUAUUGGGCGUAAAGCGUCCGUAGGUGGUUAUCCAAGUCAGUUGUUAAAGCGUAGAGCUUAACUCUAUAAGGGCAAUUGAAACUGGGUGGCUAGAGUGCGAUAGGGGCAAGGGGAAUUCCCAGUGUAGCGGUGAAAUGCGUAGAUAUUGGGAAGAACAUCGGUGGCGAAAGCGCCUUGCUGGGUCUGCACUGACACUGAGGGACGAAAGCUAGGGGAGCG